rnacentral:sRNA from 1 species
CAUCAGUUUUGAAAAGCUGCUUAGUGGUACGCAUGUGCUAGGUGAAGGCAUGCUUUGUGACUGCGGUGGUUGACACCAGCCCUUCUCCCUUCUCAGUCUGUCAUGUCAAGAGUCUAAGCUGAUGGCUGGCAGGUUGCCUGGUCAUUUCUGGGUUUUCUGUUCCUCUACUAGAAAGGUAGAGCCAGUCUUACCUACUGUAGAAAAUGUUAGGAAGGCAGCCAGGCACAGGGUGAUACAACCAAUGAGAUGAUCAGGGCUAAGAACAGUAAUCAGGUUUUCCACAUCUUGCUGGUGUUGGCAUAAGCCAGGAAAGUUUCAGUGUGGCCACAUGGGGUAUUUUCUAAUAAUUAAAAACUCGUCUUCAUUCUCUCUUCUUGGUUACAUUCCUAUCCCAUGCGUCCCACAUUCCAUGAACCUUUCUUCCUCUAGACCACUCUCCUAUACGUGUGCACACCUCCCCAAGAAAGAGCAUGUCAGAAAGGAAGUGGUCUUUGAUUUAUGACCUUGGACUGUGAUUUGGGACAGACGGUCUCGAGAGAAACAGCUGGAAACUGCCGCCACAGCAUCCCUUUGAGGACCCCCAUGGAUUGCUGUGCGCAGAGGAGACCCCAUGGGUACCACUCAGGCUGCCAAUGGCCCCACACAGUCUCUGCCUUUCCUGGGGAGCUACGGAGCAGGCUCUGGGUUUGGCAGUUUGCUUCUGUCCCUCGAGUGAAAUGUGCCUCUGCUUCAUUUCUGGAAGAUCGGGUUUGUGAUUUUUGUGAUUCUGCUUUAGCCCAGGAUUCGAGGGAUCAUGUCCACAUUUGUAGGCCAUCCAGGGAGCAGAGGGAAACUUUUAGGGCCAUGAUAAAGACAAGCCAAGUGGAAAAUAGCUUGUGCCCUCAUUGGCACACCUGGUGUCUUUAUUUCCAUUAGCCCUGAUUGAUCAAGCGUUGCUGGUCUGUGGGCACUUCACGCUCCCGGAGAGACCAGAUUGGAGCUGUCCUAUUGAAUCUGGCCUGUACCAGAUCAUCACUGGAGAGUGGGAGGGGGCGUCUUGUUAGAUUCCUAGGUAACCCCUGCCCCCAUUCCUAACAUAUCACUUUCCAGUAUUUCCCAAGAGCCUGAAUUAAUAGUUAACUAGCUGCUGGGAAUCAAAAGUUAGAUCUUGAGAAUACUAAGUUGAUAAGUCAGGCUUGCCCAGUAUCCAUAUGCUGCAUCCACAGUAAAUAGAGUGGCCAUUUAUUGGGCACAGUCUCUCCAUGGCGGGUGUGCAAUCUGAACCCACAGGAGCUGUUUUGCUCUCAGUUAGGAGACUAGCAUUCAUUAUUGUCCCAGGCAGUUCAGGAAAAGCUGAUUUGGUCACAGCUUAAUUAGGAAAUCCAGUGUGAGCUACUACAUUCAUGAGUUGCUGUUUUCUCUGUAGCAGUUUCGUCACCUUUACUAAUUGGCCUUAAAUAAUUAAGUUGGGCAGGGUCACUCAGGAUUUCUGCUUACCAAAGCACAACAGCCACAGCAAAGGGCCAAAUACGGCCAUGGUCCGGGGCCGUGAGCCCGGCACUCAUCAGGCAGACUAGGAAAGGCACUGUGGGUUUGCCCGAUACUGGGAGGAGACCCAUGGGGGAGAGACCACGGCUGGAAGGGCGUUUAGAGGUAUCAUCCUGACGCUGGGGCAGCCUCACUGGCGGCAGGCUUUGUCCUAAGUCCUGUAAGUCAUGGGGUAAGCGGUAGUGGUAGGGACACAGAAAUGUAGCUCAGCAGAAGCUGGCCUCUUCUGCACACUUGACAUUCAGAAAAAAAGUGCCUCUGCCAGGAACUUGCAAGUACAAAGCGUGGGACAUUCUCAGGCGUCUGUCAGAACUUGAUGUGUUAUCUUGUCUGCCAGGGUAAAGAGCUGCAGAGAAAUGGAUUCUUGUCCUCAUCCACGGGUCCACCUUCCAGGACUUUAGGCUGCAGCAUCAUCACACGUAUGCAGGAGAGAAAGUGGGGGCUUGGGAAGGUACUGGGGCAGAGGGAGGCCACAGGAAGCAUAUUUCAGUAGAGAGGGAAUUGUCCCCAUUUAAUAUUAUUUGUUCUUUGCGAGUUAUUUAUUGAAUGCAGGUGUGGAUAGCCUGUCUCAUGCUAGGCAGCCCCUUCACUUGAGGCCCAUAUAGUUUUAGCUUCUAUAAUGAAUACCAUCUAUGUUUCUUAUUUUUAUGAUUCUUAUAUAUACCCAUGCAUUUUAAUACUAAACAUUUUAAUAUAUGUCCCUUUAGUCAUGGGAUGUGUUCCAGUGUGUUUUGAGGUGUAGAAUACUCUGUGACAAGGGCUCACCUAGGCUUUACUUAUUACAGAUGUGAUGGCUGUUGGCAAACAAAACCUCCGUAGAGCUUGGGUGGUAGAAACUGAAUCCUGACACUGAUAUUUCACUGUCUGUGCCGAGGGGAGCCUGAUCUUUCUGUAUUUCGUACUGGCUCUACCUGGUGUAAUCAUUCCUCAAACCUCAAACCAAGAGUGCCUGCUGAGAAGGCAGUGGACAUUGUUAGAGGCAGUCUCCCCCCGCCUGUCGCUCCCCAUAUUCCAAGGAACUGGCUAGUCUUUAAUCCUGAACUGAAUCAUUGGAUUAAGUAGCAAUGAUACUGGUUAGAAACAACGGGGUGUGGUGAGCAACUUGGAUUAUCCCAGGAUUUAGGUGAUGUCAGGGUGGCUGCAUGCUCCAUCUUAGACAUUACCAUUGCUUAAUACCAACUUCCUAGCAGCUUGCUGCCAUUUAACACAGCACAUGUUUGACAAGUUACUGUGUUUGACUGGUUUAGGUCUGCUGGCUUUUAAGAAAUUUCUCCUAGUGGGAAUGUAAAGACUGAAUUAAAACCUUGUUUCCUACCUCAUUUAUUAGGUUCCAUCAAAUUCCAAGAGCUUGUGGGGGCCCAAACACAAGGGAUACAUAGGAAUCCUUUGCCUUUCUUUAAGUCACUAGGCUUGCGUUUGCCACGUCUGCCCUGGUGAUGUCUCCCCCGGUUCCAUUUUACCCUGAUCUGGAAGAUGAGCACUGAGAGAAUCAGAUGAAUUUCAUGGAGCAUUUUUGUAACCAAUAAACUUCUGGGUCCCAGGGCUCCAGAGGUUCUUGCCCACAGCUGCUUUUUUCCAAGCAGAAGGCUAGUCGCUGGAACUCCGAGAUGCAUACACCACUGUGACUCUUCCCUUGCUCCCAGAAUGCCUUGCUCUGUCCUUGUGAGUAUCCUCCUAGGGACUUCAUGUGAUGGAAUUGGAUUUUCUUUUCCAGGCUCACAGAUAAGGCAGUGAAGGACUAUUCCGCUUACCGUUCUUCCCUUCUCUUUUGGGCCCUCGUCGAUCUCAUUUACAACAUGUUUAAGAAGGUGCCUACCAGUAACACAGAGGGAGGCUGGUCCUGCUCUCUCGCUGAGUACAUCCGCCACAACGACAUGCCCAUCUACGAAGCUGCCGACAAAGCCCUGAAAACCUUCCAGGAGGAGUUCAUGCCGGUGGAGACCUUCUCAGAGUUCCUCGAUGUGGCCGGUCUUUUAUCAGAAAUCACCGAUCCAGAGAGCUUCCUGAAGGACCUGUUGAACUCAGUCCCCUGACCACCACACAGCAGCUGCGGCGGCGAAGACGAAGCUGGCUUGCCUUCCACCCUCUGUUCUCCCUCCUUGUGCAUUGAGUUCCCUCCGCGGGAUGCUGCAUUGUUAUCCCGCCCUCCCCUCUCUCAUUUUUCUUGGUGUGGCUUGGGGUUUUUAGGCUUCCUGUUUUAUCUUGUGUGUGUGGUGCACUAGCUAUGAGGUUGUCUGUAACCCAAGCCAUCAAGGGGCCUGUACAUACCUAGGAGCCAUGAGUUGUCCCGGCCAACUUCAUACUUGAGUGUGCACAUCUUGAGAAAUAAACAAGUGACUUAACACAC